rnacentral:rRNA from 1 species
AUGCACGCUGGCGGCGUGCCUAAUACAUGCAAGUCGAGCGAACAGACGAGGAGCUUGCUCCUCUGACGUUAGCGGCGGACGGGUGAGUAACACGUGGAUAACCUACCUAUAAGACUGGGAUAACUUCGGGAAACCGGAGCUAAUACCGGAUAAUAUAUUGAACCGCAUGGUUCAAUAGUGAAAGACGGUUUUGCUGUCACUUAUAGAUGGAUCCGCGCCGCAUUAGCUAGUUGGUAAGGUAACGGCUUACCAAGGCAACGAUGCGUAGCCGACCUGAGAGGGUGAUCGGCCACACUGGAACUGAGACACGGUCCAGACUCCUACGGGAGGCAGCAGUAGGGAAUCUUCCGCAAUGGGCGAAAGCCUGACGGAGCAACGCCGCGUGAGUGAUGAAGGUCUUCGGAUCGUAAAACUCUGUUAUUAGAGAAGAACAAAUGUGUAAGUAACUAUGCACGUCUUGACGGUACCUAAUCAGAAAGCCACGGCUAACUACGU